UAUUACUGAAAUUACAAUUAAAGACAAUUAACAAACUAAACUAACUGUGCUACAUUUGUUUGUGCCACCUGUGCUAAACUCCUUUGUAUUUGAUGCUUCAGUUCAGUUAGUUGUGGCUGGGAAUGAUCUUGUAAUGCAGCAGCAACAUGAGCACCAUGAUGUGUAUCAACUCUAUUACUCCCCCCGCAAAUGGGAGGUCCACAAGGAUUGUGGAGUCCCAAUUUGGAAAUGAUAAACGAGUGAGCAGAACGCCCCAAAGGUUUGGUAAAAAUAUCAGCAAAUUGUUGAGUACUGGGAAUAUAAACAAGUUUAAUGAACUGAGC
rnacentral:lncRNA from 1 species